rnacentral:rRNA from 1 species
GAAAAUAACAAUGAUUCCCCUAGUAACGGCGAGUGAAGCGGGAAGAGCUCAAGCUGAAAAUCGUUUUCUUCGGACGGCGAAUUGUGGCCUAGAGACGUUCUAUCAGUACGAACCCAGGUAUAAGUCCCUUGAAACAGGGUAUCAUAGAGGGUGAGAAUCCCGUUUGUGACUUGGAGUUUCGUGCGUACGAUGUUCGUUCAUAGAGUCGUGUUGCUUGGGAGUGCAGCACUAAAUGGGUGGUAAAUUUCAUCUAAAGCUAAAUAUCGACUGGAGACCGAUAGCGAACAAGUACCGUGAGGGAAAGAUGAAAAGCACUUUGGAAAGAGAGUUAAACAGUAUGUGAAAUUGUUGAAAGGGAAACGAUUGAAGUCAGUCGUGCCUGCCUAGAUUCAGCCUUCUGGUGU